UACGGGAGGGCAGCAGGGGGAAUAUUGCACAAUGGGCGAAAGCCUGAUGCAGCUAUGCCGCGUGUAUGAAGAAGGCCUUAGGGUUGUAAAGUACUUUCAUCGGGGAGGAAAAAACAAAACUAAUAAUUUUAUUUCUUGACGUUACCCGAAAAAGAAGCACCGGCUAACUCCGUGCCAGCAGCCGCGGUAAUACGGAGGGUGCUAGCGUUAAUCAGAAUUACUGGGCGUAAAGAGCACGUAGGUGGUUUUUUUAAGUCAGAUGUGAAAUCCCUGGGCUUAACCUAGGAACUGCAUUUUGAAACUGAAAUACUAGAGUAUCGUAGAGGGAGGUAGAAUUCUAGGUGUAGCGGUGAAAUGCGUAGAUAUCUGGAGGAAUACCUGUGGCGAAAGCGGCCUCCUAAACGAAUACUGACACUGAGGGUGCGAAAGCGUGGGGAGCAAACAGGGAUUAGAUACC
rnacentral:rRNA from 1 species